UCCACCAUGUUAGGACCAGUGAGAAAGCACCAUCUGUGAACAAGAAAGUGGGCCUUCAUCAGACCCUGAAUCUGCCAGUGCCUUGAUUACGGACCUCCCAACCUCGAGAACUGAUAGACAUUUUCUAGCUAAGAUCUCCAGGGAAAAUUUUGAGGGAUCACGAGAGAUGGAUGAAUCAUGAGGAAGGGGUUCUACAUAUUUCUGACCAGCUCCGAAGAAGAUUAACUAAAUAGAGAAAGGCUCCUGGGUUGUCCUGAAUGGUAGAAUCAUCAGAAUCAGAGAUGGGGGAGUCCUGAUGGGUUCAUCCUAUACUGGCUUGUGCUAAAUAUUCUUUAAUGGUAAG